rnacentral:rRNA from 1 species
GUACACGCUGUGACUAGCAUAUCAAUAAGCGGAGGAAAAGAAACUAACAAGGAUUCCCCUAGUAACGGCGAGUGAAGCGGGAAGAGCUCAAAUUUGAAAUCUUAAAGGGUUUCCCUUUACGAAUUGUAGUUUAAAGAAGUGUUUUCUGUUGAGGUUUUGGUAAAAGUUCUUUGGAAUAGGACAUCAUAGAGGGUGAGAAUCCCGUAUUUGACCUUUACUUUCAACUUUGUGAUACACUUUCAAAGAGUCGGAUUGUUUGGGAAUGCAGUCCAAAAUGGGUGGUAAAUUUCAUCUAAAGCUAAAUAUUGGCGAGAGACCGAUAGCGAACAAGUACCGUGAGGGAAAGAUGAAAAGAACUUUGAAAAGAGAGUUAAACAGUACGUGAAAUUGUCAAAAGGGAAGCGUUUGACACCAGUGUUGUUUUUCUGAAAAUCAAUUAAAGAACUGUUUAUGCUAAGCUGUUUAGACUUUAUCAGCUAAUCUGUUUAGUUUUGAGCUUUUCUUUAAUGCACUUUUCAGUUAACAAGUCAACAUCAAUUUCUUUUGCUGUAAAAAAGCUUGAGGAAGGUGGCUUGAGAUUCGUCUUAAGUGUUUAUAGCCUCUUGCCUAUGCAGUCGGAGAGAUUGAGGUCUGCAGCGUAGAUCCUUCGGGGCUAAAUGCAUUUGUGCUAAGUUAUAGCAUUUUAUAGACAACUUGUUGACUAUGAUUUGUCUUGUAGCUUACUCGCUUAUGUUAUUUUACCUACGCUUAGGAUGUUGACGCGCGUGUGUGCGUG